rnacentral:rRNA from 1 species
AGAGUUUGAUCCUGGCUCAGGACGAACGCUGGCGGCGUGCUUAACACAUGCAAGUCGAACGGAAAGGCCCUUCGGGGUACUCGAGUGGCGAACGGGUGAGUAACACGUGGGUGAUCUGCCCUGCACUUUGGGAUAAGCCUGGGAAACUGGGUCUAAUACCGAAUAUGACCAUGCACUUCCUGGUGUGUGGUGGAAAGCUUUUGCGGUGUGGGAUGGGCCCGCGGCCUAUCAGCUUGUUGGUGGGGUAAUGGCCUACCAAGGCGACGACGGGUAGCCGGCCUGAGAGGGUGACCGGCCACACUGGGACUGAGAUACGGCCCAGACUCCUACGGGAGGCAGCAGUGGGGAAUAUUGCACAAUGGGCGCAAGCCUGAUGCAGCGACGCCGCGUGAGGGAUGACGGCCUUCGGGUUGUAAACCUCUUUCAGCACAGACGAAGCGCAAGUGACGGUAUGUGCAGAAGAAGGACCGGCCAACUACGUGCCAGCAGCCGCGGUAAUACGUAGGGUCCGAGCGUUGUCCGGAAUUACUGGGCGUAAAGAGCUCGUAGGUGGUUUGUCGCGUUGUUCGUGAAAACUCACAGCUUAACUGUGGGCGUGCGGGCGAUACGGGCAGACUUGAGUACUGCAGGGGAGACUGGAAUUCCUGGUGUAGCGGUGGAAUGCGCAGAUAUCAGGAGGAACACCGGUGGCGAAGGCGGGUCUCUGGGCAGUAACUGACGCUGAGGAGCGAAAGCGUGGGGAGCGAACAGGAUUAGAUACCCUGGUAGUCC